rnacentral:rRNA from 1 species
AUUGAACGCUGGCGGCAGGCCUAACACAUGCAAGUCGAGCGAGCGGCGGACGGGUGAGUAAUGUCUGGGAAACUGCCUGAUGGCGGGGGAUAACUACUGGAAACGGUAGCUAAUACCGCAUAACAUCAGAUGUGCCCAGAUGGGAUUAGAUAGUAGGGGGGGUAAUGGCUCACCUAGGCGACGAUACCUAGCUGGUCUGAGAGGAUGACCAGCCAAACUGGAACUGAGGCACGGUCCGUACUCCUACGGGAGGCAGCAGUGGGGAAGAUUGCACAAUGGGCGCAAGCCUGAUGCAGCCAUUCCGCGUGUGUGAAGAAGUCCUUCGGGUUGUAAAGCACUUUCAGCGGAGAGGCGUUACCCGCAGAAGAAGCACCGGCUAACUCCGUGCCAGCAGCCGCGGUAAUUC